GGGCCCGCACAAGCGGUGGAGUAUGUGGUUUAAUUCGAUGCAACGCGAAGAACCUUACCAGGGUUUGACAUCCUGCGAAUUUCUGGGAAACCGGAAAGUGCCUUCGGGAGCGCAGUGACAGGUGGUGCAUGGCUGUCGUCAGCUCGUGUCGUGAGAUGUUGGGUUAAGUCCCGCAACGAGCGCAACCCACGUCUUUAGUUGCCAGCAUUUAGUUGGGCACUCUAGAGAGACCGCCGGUGAUAAACCGGAGAAGGUGUGGAUGACGUCAAGUCAUCAUGCCCCUUACAUCUGGGCUACACACGUACUACAAUGCUACGGACAAAGGGCAGCAAACUCGCGAGAGCUAGCAAAUCCCAUAAAACGUUUCGU
rnacentral:rRNA from 1 species